AGAGUUUGAUCAUGGCCCAGGACGAACGCUGGCGGCACGCUUAACACAUGCAAGUCGAACGAGAGAAGAGGAGCUUGCUUUUCUAAUCUAGUGGCGGACGGGUGAGUAACACGUGAGCAAUCUGCCUUUCAGAGGGGGAUACCGAUUGGAAACGAUCGUUAAUACCGCAUAACAUAAUUGAACCGCAUGAUUUGAUUAUCAAAGAUUUAUCGCUGAAAGAUGAGCUCGCGUCUGAUUAGCUAGUUGGUAAGGUAACGGCUUACCAAGGCGACGAUCAGUAGCCGGACUGUGAGGUUGAUCGGCCACAUUGGGACUGAGACACGGCCCAGACUCCUACGGGAGGCAGCAGUGGGGAAUAUUGCACAAUGGAGGAAACUCUGAUGCAGCGAUGCCGCGUGAGGGAAGAAGGUUUUAGGAUUGUAAACCUCUGUCUUCAGGGACGAAAAAAGACGGUACCUGAGGAGGAAGCUCCGGCUAACUACGUGCCAGCAGCCGCGGGAAUACGUAGGGAGCGAGCGUUGUCCGGAAUUACUGGGUGUAAAGGGAGCGUAGGCGGGAUCGCAAGUCAGAUGUGAAAACUAUGGGCUUAACCCAUAAACUGCAUUUGAAACUGUGGUUCUUGAGUGAAGUAGAGGUAAGCGGAAUUCCUAGUGUAGCGGUGAAAUGCGUAGAUAUUAGGAGGAACAUCAGUGGCGAAGGCGGCUUACUGGGCUUUAACUGACGCUGAGGCUCGAAAGCGUGGGGAGCAAACAGGAUUAGAUACCCUGGUAGUCCACGCCGUAAACGAUGAUUACUAGGUGUGGGGGACUGACCCCUUCCGUGCCGCAGCAAACGCAAUAAGUAAUCCACCUGGGGAGUACGACCGCAAGGUUGAAACUCAAAGGAAUUGACGGGGGCCCGCACAAGCAGUGGAGUAUGUGGAUUAAUUCGAAGCAACGCGAAGAACCUUACCAGGUCUUGACAUCGUAUGCAUAGCUCAGAGAUGAGUGAAAUCUCUUCGGAGACAUAUAGACAGGUGGUGCAUGGUUGUCGUCAGCUCGUGUCGUGAGAUGUUGGGUUAAGUCCCGCAACGAGCGCAACCCUUACUGUUAGUUGCUACGCAAGAGCACUCUAGCAGGACUGCCGUUGACAAAACGGAGGAGGGUGGGGAUGACGUCAAAUCAUCAUGCCCCUUAUGACCUGGGCCUCACACGUACUACAAUGGCUGUCAACAGAGGGAAGCAAAGCCGCGAGGUGGAGCGAACCCCUAAAAGCAGUCUUAGUUCGGAUUGUAGGCUGCAACCCGCCUACAUGAAGUCGGAAUUGCUAGUAAUCGCAGAUCAGCAUGCUGCGGUGAAUACGUUCCCGGGCCUUGUACACACCGCCCGUCACGCCAUGGGAGUCGGUAACACCCGAAGCCUGUAGUCUAACCGCAAGGAGGACGCAGUCGAAGGUGGGAUUGAUGACUGGGGUGAAGUCGUAACAAGGUA
rnacentral:rRNA from 1 species